GACACACGCUGGCGGCGUGCCUAAUACAUGCAAGUAGGACACAGUUGCGAACGGGUGAGUAACGCGUAGGUAACUACCUAUUAGAGGGGGAUAACUAUUGGAAACGAUAGCUAAUACCGCAUACUAGUAGAUGGACCUGCGUUGUAUUAGCUAGUAGGUUGGGUAAUGGCCUACCUAGGCAACGAUACAUAGCCGAGCUGGGGAGGUGGACGGCCACAAUGGGACCGGGGCACGGCCCAGAAUCCUAAGGGAGGGAACAGUAGGGGAACAUCGGCAAUGGGGGGAAACCUGACCGAGCAACGCCGCGUGAGUGAAGAAGGGUUUCGGAUCGUAAAGCUCUGUUGUGAAGGAAGCGGUACUUAACCAGAAAGGGACGGCUAACUACGUGCCAGCAGCCGCGGUAAUUC
rnacentral:rRNA from 1 species